rnacentral:rRNA from 1 species
CAGCCGCCGCGGGAAAACAGAGGGUGCGAGCGUUAAUCGGAUUUACUGGGCGUAAAGCGUGCGUAGGCGGCUUCUUAAGUCGGAUGUGAAAUCCCUGAGCUUAACUUAGGAAUUGCAUUCGAUACUGGGAAGCUAGAGUAUGGGAGAGGAUGGUAGAAUUCCAGGUGUAGCGGUGAAAUGCGUAGAGAUCUGGAGGAAUACCGAUGGCGAAGGCAGCCAUCUGGCCUAAUACUGACGCUGAGGUACGAAAGCAUGGGGAGCAAACAGGAUUAGAUACCCCAGUAGUCCUGUCUCUUAUACA